CCCCUGAUAGCUCAGUUGGAAGAGCGUGAGACUGUAACUGGUAGCCGCGAUCUCAAGGUCACCUGUUCGAGCCAGGUUCAGGGGA
rnacentral:tRNA from 1 species